CGCGUGUCCUUCCGCACCGGCUUCCCUCCCUGGGCAGGAUGUUCCGAGGCUCCUUUUUGGAGGGGGCCACAUUUGGAAAGGUUUUGGAUUCGUCUCUGACAACCGCGUAGAGAGACAGUCACUCAGGGCAGUGCGCAGCUCUGCGGCUUGCGCGGCGAUGUGCAUCAGAGCGCUGUGACGGCAAUUAAAUUAGUUUUCGACGUUGAGAAAUCGGCUCAGGAAGUCGGGUUCCCCUCUCGGCCCCGGCCCUUGGGCUCUGGGAAGGCCCACCCACCCCCACUCACCCCUACCCUUCCUGGGCGCUCAACUGGCCCUGGAAGCGGAGCCUGGAUCCUGGUGCAGCGCAGGGGCUGGACCGAUGCGGGGCCUGAGCCGCAGCCCAGCUGACUCGCGCUGACACCAGGUGGCGUAGUGACCCGGCUGCAGGAGAACCCACGUCCUCGCUCCCACUGCCUGGUGGCUCUUUCCACCGCCUUAGUUAUCCGAGUUCCUGUGCGAAGGGGUGCGACCUUGUGCAAACGUUGGAAUACACGGACAAGGAUAUUAAAACCCCACCAUUCUGCACGCGUGAGCCGUCCCGGUUCACGUUUUAGGGUGCUGCCAGUUCUGUGGACACAGUGUUGCAAGCUUUACCUCCAGAUCAGUGGGAGCAACCUCGUGGCCUGCCUUCUUGCGACAGCAGGGUGAGGAGCCCAGAAGCCUGCCCAGGCCCCUUACUGCGCUACAGAUAAGCUGUUUCCUGUCCUUUACAAAUGGCAAUUACUGAGGCCUGAAGAGGGAGAUGAUGCACCCAAAGCUACAUGGCAGGUGGUGUGGAUGUUCCCUGGACGCACACUGCCUAUGGACAGCCAGGAGCAGGACGACUGCAGCCGCCAGUGCCGCUUCAUGCUGCCUGUCCCCGGGCGAGUCAGAGGGAAUGACAGUCCCCUAACUCUUGAAGGAAAAAAACCAACCAAGCUGUGGCAUGAACAACACCCCACCGCCACCCGUCAGGGGGUUCGAAUGAGCAUGGCGAGCCACGUCAGGCCUUGGGGGAAGCAUAGAGGUAAUAAAUACAAGUGACAAAUAUUUACAAUAGAAGCAACCAAGGGGACAUCAGUAGGCAGACCCACAGACGUUCACACACCACCGUGGCAGGGGGUAUUUGGUUAGCUCCUGAGUGCUGGAAAGAAAUGCCAGCCUGCUGUGGUGGCCGGGGCACGCUGUCACCAUGGUUUACGCCUGUUCUCAUGGCGGAGCGACAUUCAGUGCCUCCUCCCUCCCUUCGAGGGUUGAACUGGAUUAAAUGCACCAACCCUCUGCGCUCUGCACCCCAGGUCUUCUGGGUGCUUCUCCCAGCAGGUCACCCCACCUCCACCCCCAAAUGAUUUCUGUACCACGUGGACCUUGCGAGAUUGGGUUUGGGGCCUAUAAAGACCAGCUGUGUUUGGAGCAAAGAUAUUCCCUAGAAUAAAUAAAUCACUGACAUGUAGGUAAAUUGAGCUCAUCUCUGGCCUCCGAUGACUGCGAGGGAGACCGAGCUAGUGGAGAGAUCAGGGGAGAUGCAGACCCUCUGGGCCACUCCCUAGAACAGAGAUCAACAAACUGAGCCAAGUCCAGCUGGGGGCCUGUUCAACAAAACCUUCCUGGAACAGGGCCAAGCCCACUGGUCUCUGUCUGGGCUGCUUCCAGCUCUCACCGCAGGGUUGACCAGCUGCAGAGAGACAGCUCGGCCGACAAGCUGAAAAGACUGUAUUUCCUCUCUGACCCUUUACACAAAAGGUCUGCUGACCCCUGCUUUGGAAAGACCCAGGAAGCCUGGCCAGGCCUUCCAAACUGGCUCCUAUUUGAGUACGGCUAUGAGAGGGUUGGGCUUUAACUUGACAGCCUGUUGGGGAGAAAUGCCUAUCAAAGAGAUGAGCUGAAAACUGCAAGAACCACCCCCCGCCCCCCCAUGGACUUCCCUCCUGGCACAAUCCUUCCCUUCCUCAGUGAGUCCAUUUCUCCUCUCUGCCCUCUGUCCGCUUGACUCCCCUCCUUAUCGCUCACUUUCCAAAUAAGAUCUGCCCUGUGGAGGUUUCCAGCCUCACCUCCACUCAUGCUGAAGGUUAGCCGCCUUUUUUCUUUUUUUGGUAGCAGGGAUUGAACCCAGGGGUAUUUAACCGCUGAGCCACAUCCCCAGCCCUUUUUAUUUUUUAUUUUGAGAAGGGUCUUGCUAGGUUGCUCACAGUCUUGCUAAGUUGCUAAGGCUGGCUUCAAACAUGUGAUCCUCCUGUCUCAGCCUCCUGAGCUGCUGGGAUUGCAGGUGGGCACCACUGGUGGGCCUCUCGAUGGGUGGCCUCAGCAAUCUCCUUCUCUUCUCCCCUUUUUUCCCCUCCAGCAUGGGGAAGCCAGGUUUCCUGCUCGGCCUCGCAGGGUGGUGGGUAUAGGGCUUGCUGGGACCUGGCGAUGGGUCAAGGUGAGCUGCCUGAUGGCCUCCCUGUGUGCGUUUCCCUCCAGGUAUGAGGUCUGUCCCAGGUGAAUGUGAGCCCAGGCCAGGCACAGUGCUGUUGGGCUGUUGGAUUCUUUUAAAAAUUGCACUUUAAAAAAUUGGGCCCCAAAGGGUGGGCCGGGGCUGUUUUUCCUCCCACUUUGAGCUGGUUUUAAUGAACCAGUUGCUUUGUUUGAAAGGCAUUUAUUUAGACAACAGAUAUAUAGAUGUAACUGGAUAAAUAAAAAAAGUGAAAUCGAGAUUGGAAGCAGUGGUUAAAGUAUAAACACACAGGGGUCACUCCCUCGGACUGUGUCCCCCGGGCAGAACAAUGGCUCAGAAAUCACACAUGGAAAUGACUCUGCCCUCGCUCCCUCAAGCAGCUCUGAACCAAGAGGCCCCAUGCAGGAAACUGAAUUCGGGUUCCGCAGAGCACUGUGCGGCUCCUGUGCACCAGCCCCUGUGCCUCCGGGGACAUCCUCUCUCCCCUCUGGCCCCGCCUUGCCCUCCCACAGUGCCAGAGGCUGCAGGGUCUAGCCCCCGUGCUUGGCCCAGCGCAGGUGGGUAUUCACCUCCCCCAGAGCAGGGUACACGGCAGCCCACCACUCACUGGCCCACUAUGGGAAGAAGACAGAGAUACAAGGAGGUCGCGGGAUGCCCUUGAGCACAUGCAGGUGCCCAGCUCACCAGGCCCGCUGAGACCCCGCUGCCCCAGGAGCCUCCAUCUCACCUGUUCACACACCGUCAUGAAGUCCACAAUCCCACAAAAUCCUGCGUGUGACAUCCCCCCUCUUUAAUGGCAAAUGUUUUGGAAUGUCCAUAGAUAAGAAAAUGGACGGCGUGGAGGAAAGAUUUCAUGGCUGGUCUUUGAUUUCACCUCCGGAUGUCAGAGUACUCAGACUGUUCGUCCUCCCACUCGCUGCUUCCAGAAGGUCCCUGGGUCCCCUGGCUCCCCGCUCGGCCCCGGGCCUGGGCAUGUGGGUGGCUCCUGCUGCCUCGCUCGCCCCUGGAGCCUCUGACAGCCUCCCUGCUGCUGGGCUCUGAGAAGUGCAGGCUGGCUUCCCCGCGGUGGAUCCUGGAGAGCCUGGCUCUGUCCCCUUGGAGCUGGUGCUCAGGGGAUGCCGUGGGGGGCCUCUGGAUGGCUGAGGUGCAGAAACUCAGGAUGGAGCACAGCCCUCCCAAGUUCUGUUCACACUGGGCCUGGACACUGUGGGUGACAGCCUCCUUCACCUCCUCCCCGCAGGUAAGCAGCAGGUUCACCAGGUCCACGUAGGGUCUGGAGGUGGAGAGCAGAGAGAGACACUGAGGAUGGACGGAGUCCCAAAGAGGCUCUGAGAGCUGUGAUCAGGUCAGGAAAGGGGAGGGGCCAGUACUGGAGGCCCUUCCUGGAACCACUUGGAGCCCCUCUAUGGAGCACCAGCCUCUGGGUCUUUCCUGGGCAGCCCUGUGGACCAGGCUCCAUGCAGGCAAGGACUCUCACCCCUGAGUCGCUGUGGAGAGGGAGCCCAAGCAGGACAAAGGGCAGCGACAAUGGCAGGUGCUUGGGAUAAAAGCUGAGGGCCCAGGCACUGGAAUAAAGGCAGACUGCAGGAGGGGGGCUGAUGACUGAUGCCAGAACCUGGGGUCAGUGCAACAGCCUUGGGCAAGCGGGGAGGGCCUCAGUCAGCAGAGGAGGAGCCACGAAGUUCAGGGUUCAGAGAGGGGCUCUGAUGGCUUCCAAGAGCCCCAGCAUUGUGGCGACAAUGAGGCCAACUGCUUUGCACCAGGGACCUUCCUCUAGGGCCCCCUCCCGAAAGUCCUCCCCACACCUGUCUGCUGCUGGCUUAGGCUCAUGAGGAAGGGUGUUCUCAGGGGUUACUGGGUGCACUGCCCUCUGCACCAGGAAGACUGUGGACUGGGUGGUGGGGCUUGGGGAAGACACCUGCCUGCAGCAUCAUUUCCCAUGCAGCUGUCCCUCUGCGUCACAGGUGUAGGGGUGUGUGUAUGUGAUCUGACCAUCCUCAUUCUUUCUGUCUGGGCUUCCCCAGGAUUGGGGUGAGGGCCAGUGGUCAGGCCUCCUGGUUUGGAAGGAGCCACAGCCUGUUGCUUGGCUCACUCUGGAUGCCCUUCAGGGAGACUGCUCCCCCAGGGCUGAGGGUGCAUGCAGACGGCGGGGCAGGCCUGCCUUGACGUGCAUGGGCCCAGCUGCUCAGCCUGUCCUACUCUCGCUGGCCUCUCAGAACUCCCCAGGUGGGGUGGCUAUGGAAUGCUUCAUCGGGGUGAACCCCUUCCUUCCUUCCUGGUGCUGGGGAUUGAACCCAGGGCCUCAUGUAUGCCUGGCAAGGGCUCCACCAUGCGGUAGGCCCACAGCCCACUGACCAACAUUUUUUUUUUAAUAUUUAUUUUUUAGUUGUAGUUGAACACAAUACCUUUGUUUUAUUUAUUUACUUUUUAUGGGGUGCUAAGGAUUGAACCCAGGGCCUUGCCCACGCUAGGAGAGUGUUCUACUGCUGAGCCACAACCCCAGCCCCACUGACCAACAUUUUGAAGUAGCCCUUAGCUAGCCAAGGUCCUGGAUGCAUCUGAUCAUGAGCAUCACAGCCUCGGAUGUCUCCUUGACCAGGGAAGUUACUGGGAACAUGGGGUGGUUAUAACAAGCCUGGCCUGGAGGGCUGUGGAAGAGCCUGUGAUCUUUCUGUGCAACGCACUGUGGCUGUCUUAAGACGUGUGCGGUGUUGACUGCUGCUUGAUUAAUUAGUCCUCCAGUUGUGAUUGGGUAAACUGUCCUCGCUUUGUGGAUAUCGACUGAUAAGAGGGAGAAGGUGGCUAAGAGGGCAGGAAGGCCUCGGGCCGGCUGAUAGCAGAGAGGAGUGUUCUGGCUGGUGGAGUUCAAGUUGCCUUCUAUGUUCUCCUGGAUGCCGUUGGCAUCAUCUGUGCCUGGCUGCUGGGCACUUCCAGUGCCAGUGCCAGCAAGACACUGCCUCCUUGGCUACCUCGUGGAAGGCCUGCAUGCGGCAGAAAGCGCUCAAUGCAUGUUUGACUCCUCUGCCUUGAAAAGUGGCUCUGGUUCCUCAAGUUCACUAAGUAUCUCUGCUAAAGCAGCCACAGGGUCCUAGCACCUGUCACCCUGGGCCCAGGUGCACAUAGCAGGGGCUGUGUCUGUCUUUGGGGUUUAGGUGGAUUCCCUCCCUCAGGCUUCUUUGCCCCAAGCUGGGGGAGGCUGUCUUGGGAAUGUGCAGCCUGCCCCGGCCUCCCUCCCUGGUGUGCUCUAUCUGCCAGAGACUUGCCUGCAGAACCCCAAGGAGGACAUGGACCCCAGGAGGCAGGUCUAGCCCGCGCUCUCCUCAGCCCUUGGCUCUCUCCCGGGAGGCUGUGGCCGAGCGGAGGGGUGUGUGUGCUGAAGUGAGUUCAUCUAAGCCUUUGGAGCUGGCACAGUGCCUUCUCAGGCUGUAGGACAAGCCGUGUCUAAUGACAAAGCCCAGCUCUCUUGACUGGGUGUCAGCAAGGCUAACAGUCUAAAAAAAAUACUUGGAGGGGGAUGUGCCGGGAGGCUCUGAACCAUCACUGGCUGCCAGCACCCAGUGACAGGCUGUGUGCAGGCCAGAGCAGGCUGCCCGCAGCUAGGGGGAGGCAGAUGACCAGGAGAAAGAUGGGCGGGAGGAGGAGGCAGGGAGCAGAGGGCCCUGGGAGUUGGAAAUGGCUGCUCUAACUGCAAUGUGCUUGUUUUGGGAUCAAUAGGGCUGGGGCGAGGAGGAGUGCUGAGAAUUCUAGGGUGACUGUAUGUCCUCGCUAAUCAAAUACAGUUCUCAUUCUCAUUUGUGACCAAUGCCACACAAUUUGUAAGGGCCUUCUUGAAUCAGUUAAGAUGGCAAAAAAAAUAAAAAGCUAAAAAUCUCAGGCAAUUGAGCUUGCUGUGUAGCGAGGCACUGUGCAGCUGGGCUUCAUGAGGGCUACUGAUGGGGGCUUUGGGGGAGCUGGUAUUUGGAGGGACUCACUGCCCAGAGGGGCUGGCCUAGCCAGAAGCAAGAGGACCUGUGUGUGACCACAUAGCCACUCCUGAUCAGAGCAGGCCUUCUGCUUUUCUAGAGCAGGCCAAAUGGGCAAAGGCCUGAGGGGUAACACGUGCCAGGUCGCCAUGAGGAGACACUAGACAGCCACUGAGCUCCUUCCGUUUCAGGGGGACAGCAUGCAAAACCCUCAAAACUUCACUCCCCCAAAGAAGACACUCAACAACACAUUGUAGACUUAUAAACCUGCACCCCGGGCCCAUAGUCAACAAGCUGUCUCAUGGGUGACAGUGGGGGAUGGGCUGGGGCAAAUGGACUUAUGGAGUUUCUCAGCCAUGGGGCGUGCAUCUUUUUCAGGGUACCUGGAGGGAAAGGGGUUUCACAGAGCUCACUGAGUGAGACAGGGGGAUUGGUUUGAGAAAAGCAAAGAACUGUACUAUAUUUGGUGACCAUGAGGCCUCUGCAGGUAUAGUGAGGAGAGGACAGGCCAGGAACAAGGAGGUUGGGUUCUGACAGCUGGCUAGUUCCUGACAACUGGCUUCAGGUACCUAUGCCCUCUGCAUCUGUUGACACAACCAGCCACGAAGCAAAAAUAUUUGGAAAACAAAAUGUAUCUGUACUGAACUUGUGCGGACUAUUUUUUUCCCCUAGACAUUAUCUCCUGACCAAUACAGGCCAACAACAAUUUCCGUAGCAUUUACGUUACAUUCGGUAUUAUAAGUCCUCUAGAGAUGAUUAAUGCAUACAGGUUGGGAUUGAAAUGAGAAAACUUGCUCUGUGUGUUUACGAAUAUGUCAAAUGAACCCCACUAUUACGUGUAACUGCAAUGCACUAGCAAUUUUGAAAAUUAAAAACUAACAAAUAAAUAAAUGUGUGCAGGUUAUAUGCAAAAGCUAUGUCAUUUUAUAUAAGGGUCUUGAGCACCUAUGGCUUUGUGUAUCUGAGGAGGACGCUCCAGGCCCUCAGGGAUGACUGCACACCACCAAUCCCCACAUUGAAGAGGAGGACUCAAACCCCGGAGUGAGGUUCAGCCUUCACUAUCCUCUUCUAUAAAACGGGACAGUAAUUUCUAUCUUGUAGCAUGAUUGGGAAAGACAGAUGUGUUAAUUCACACAAAGACCCUGGCCAAAAACCUGGAACAUUAGGAAAAAAGGAUGGUUAUCAUUGUUGUUGAUGCUGUUAUUACUAUUGCUCUCUUAGACGUAUUUGGAAGAAUGAAACUGUUGUAUGAGGUGUUGGUGUGAUUCAAGGAAAAGGCAAUGUACUCUCGCUUUUGGCCAGAGCUGCCCGCAUCCAUGCCCCACACACCUUAUGAUCCAGAGGCUGUUGCAAGAUACCUGCAACCUUAUAACCAAGUGGGUAGUGACGGCAGAGGGUUGUUGUCCUCCAUGACUGAGGUGAUACUGGGGGUGAGGGUGGGGUAGCCUGUUUAGUGACAUAGCUGGGAGCAGGUCAUGGCAUGAACUGAGGAACAAGAGUUCAUGUACUGACUUGGCACCAUGCCACCCUGUGGGAAGAACAAGGGUGCCCUCAAACUGUCAGUGAUAUGCCCUGGACUGUUAGCUGGUGGCUUCCUUUCUGUUCUGAGGAAGGAGCCAUUGGCUCGUCCCUCAUAUUAGGAACAACUGUGUACCCACUUGCUUUUACGUUUCUGCAAAAAUUAGGAUCUGAAAGCUGGAACCAUUUUUAAAGAAUGAGGAGUCUCUGGGCUUAUCUGUGAAUUGCAAGUCUUCCAAGAAGGACUGUCACAUUUUCCUGGUGUGGCAUGCCAAUACUUAGCAGAUCCGUUUUUGAUGUUUGUUUUGCAUUUUCUCUGGUAGGGGCUUUUCAAAGAAAGGAGAGCCUUGGGGUCAGGGGAAGCACUGCUCUCGGUUAAGCUGCCUGGUCCCCAGACCCAGUUUUGCCUUCACCCCAGUCUUCUCAUCUGUAAAAAGCCAGUCAAAGCAUCCAAGUCUUGGAGCUGCUGCGAGGGUCAGGUGAGAGGUUCAGACACAGCACUCAGCACAGUGCCGGGUCCAACAGAUGUCUCUGCGCUCAGCUGCCCACAAGGACAACCCUGCAGCUAUUUGGGAUAUUCAGAGACUUCCUUGGCUAAGGGGAAGAUGAGAAUUUCUGAUUUUAAACAUUUGAGUAACAGUAAUAUUGUUUCUGGGGCCCAGGAUUUGGAAAGUGGUGAUGAAAAAAAAAUCUCAUUUUUUUUUUGAAAGCCAGCAGGACAGGAGCUCCUGGGGGACAGCUUUUGGGAAUGCAGCCCCGGACAGCAGGCCCUCAGGCUGGACGCCAUCGCGGCCGCCCUCCUGGGCCCUGCGGGCAGUACUCACUCGUGCAGCAGCAGGUCCUUGAAGUGGAUCAUCUCCACCAUCACCCGGAUGUUCUCCUGCGCCGCGGCGCACAGCCCGUGCCUGAGGUAGCAUUCCCGCUGCAGCUGGGACACCAUUUCCUUAAUGGCCGGGCACUUCCGGCUUAUGCAGCCGAACCUGUGCCGCAGAGCGUGGGCCUUGCACUUCAAGGCAUCUUUGAUGAACGACUUGCCCUGAGAGCAGAGGGGAGGGGAGAGGAGAGGGCAGAAGGCCAGGCGUUAGCGCCUGCACUGAUCUUUCUGGGGCUGUCACACAGGACUUUUAGGACAACAAAUCCCAGGCCCUGUCCCAGACUCAUGUCCUUUCCCAGGUGACGGGGCAUAUCGGAGGUACAUCCAGAGUGACAGGACACCUCCGGCACCGCGCCAGAAAGGAUGUUAGUGUUGUGCACUAACAAAUCUGCCUCCUUCCUCCCCAGCUGCGCCUUUCGUUUCCCUUGAACUGGGGCUUCCGCGGCUGUCAGGGCAGCUCAGGGCUGGCGGCUGGGUGGCAGCUUUUCUGGAACACCCGGGGAACUGGGCCAUGACUCCUUUGUGGUUCUCAGCAAGGGUUCUUCCCGAGUGGAAGGUGCCCGCUGGCCGCCGAGCUGCACCUUCUUCCAUUCCAGGAGCCUCACCAAGAUGGAGGCCGCGGGCCUCCCUUCCUGCCUCAGGGCCUCUGGCUCCACUCGGGCCUCCUCUUAUCCUUCAAGCAGGAGCGUUCUUUACCCUUCCAAAAAAUGACUCUACUCCUUUAAACUGUUAGGAUUUUUGCCACUAAAAGGCCGCCUGGCACCCGGCCUGGCAGCAUCUGAGCCGAGUGGCCCUCCCCCACGCUCCUGCCUCAAGAGGCCCACAUACAUCUGGCCUGCAGCUCUCCUCCCUGGCAACCCCAUUAGGGCUGCGCUUAUCCUAGAAAGGAGCCAGCUGUUGGGGUUGUGGAGGGAGCUCGGCCCUGGCUUCCUUAUCAGUGUCCCGGGCAGGGGGCACUUGGGUGCCCACCUAGGAUUCCCGGCAGCCUCCUUCCUUACUCUAGAAACAAGCUGUGGUCCUAGAGGCCACCCUGGGUUUUAGACCCGGGAAGCCACUUGAGACACAGUCAAUGGUUCAGGUUGGACACGGAAAGCCAGCCAGCACAUUUAUUUUGGUUCUCUCUUUAGAAGCAACUGAAAUGCGUCCAGAGAGCAUCUGAGGGCUGAAAACCCACCCUGUGGCCCCUUCUCCUGCAGCUCUCCAGUAGGAGCCAGACGGGACAGAGAGCUUAACUAGUUCUGUGCUGGGAACUGACUGGUGGGGAUAUCUCUAACUCGAGGACACGAGGACAUGCUCCUGUUGGUUGAGGAAAAAAGGGAGAUUAAUUCACUCCAGGGCCAGAGCGACCUGUUCUGGUCUUCUUCCCUGACAUCCUGUGGGAUUGCCCUUCCGCACACAUCUUUCCUCCGGAUUUCCUAUUACGCUUCCUAAUUCCAGUUAAUCCAGAAGGGGGAUACGUUAUUAGGGAGCCUCGAGUUCAAAGUUGUGCUCUUUCCUCCCUGGUCUGUUUCCCCUGUUGCCAGCUCACAUCCUCUGUGGUUAGACUGCGGGCCUGCUGCCUCCCGGCUGGCUCCCAGGCCCAGCCCCUGUCAGGCCCUCCAGGAUGUCAGGCUUGCUGACGGCCCAUGUGCAUGAAUCACACCUCCACUGUGGCCUCUUCAGGCGCUGUCACUGUGCCCCAGAGAAAUGGGAGAGGAAGUUUAUGAUACACAGUAACACGGCGUCUCAACAGGGCACCUGGGACCAGGGAGAAAAUGAAGUGGGGGGGCCUAGUGCCUCGUGCAUAGGAGCACGCGUUUAUUUGGGUUGUAGACAUUGGAGUCGUAGGUGCUUGUUAGGUCCUUGCCCUGAGUGGCAACUUAGCUUGAACCUGGGACCCCAGAAUAUCUCAGUUGGGUCAGAUCCUAGCCAUAUUUAUUAUAUAGAACAAGAGAAAAACACAGCGUUUCAUUCAUGGUUUUGACUUUUCAGGUUGGGAAAAAAGAGCCUGCUACUUAGAAGGAAUAAAUAUCUGUUCUUUUGGAGGCUUUGAGGAGUCCAGUUUGCCUGCCCCUCCCCCACCCCACCUAUUGGGUAGAAAAAGCUUUUGGAAUGUAAUACUGGGGGUCUCUGCCCCUGCCCCUUUAGCCUACUGUCCCUCAUGCAAUGGCUUUGGGGACUAGGUUCUGGGUGAACAGAAACGAUGUGUCCUCUCUUCCAAGGUGUCCAUCAUUUCCUAUGAUUCUGGUAUGCAGGCUCACUUUGCCUGUGUAGACACAGCUUAAGAGUGUGGAAGGAUUCACCUACAUAAAGACAGCAGGACAUCAGUGCCCUGGGGAGACCCUGGCAUCCCGCUCACACCUGGAAUGUCUCUUGCAAGCCCUGAAAUUAACACCAAGAACAGCUAAGGAAACCUGUUAAGGAGUUAAGGAGUCUGUUAAGGACUUUUCCCAGCAAACAUUUCUAUCGCACUGUGCUAACCUGAAACAUGCUUCACACUCUGUGUGGUCUUUACCUGGGCAUCAAAUUUUCCAGCGUUGUGCAGAAAAGUCAUGCAAAUCCCAUGUAAGCCCCGAAUCUCACAAGAGUUGUUCUCGAAACAUUCAAACACGCCACACCCCACAUCGCCAGCGUUGACCAAACAGUGUUGGAUCUCCGCUAAAAUGAAAAUUACAAAUAUAUACACAACUCAGCCAUGCUGGGGAACAUUGACAGGGCAGCUGAAGGAAAAGUCAGUGAGGACCAGAGGAAAAUGUAAGGGGGGAAAAAAAGUCAGUGAUAACCAUAUCAGAACUGAAGAGCAGGGAAACCAAAUUUCAUCACUAAUACCACUUACAGAAAAUGUGAUAUUUGUAAAUAUUUGUAAACAUUAGCCAAAAAUUAUAAAAAUCAGAAUCAGAAA